rnacentral:snRNA from 1 species
GUUCUCCCUUUGGCAGCACAUAUACUAAAAUUGGAAUGAUACGGAGAUUAGCAUGGCCCCUGCACAAGGAUGACUCGCAAAUUUGUGAAGUGUUUCAUAUUUUU